UCCCGUCGAUCCUGCGGGAGGUUGCUGCUAUUAGGAUUCGACUAAGCCAUGCAAGUUAUCUAGCAAUAGAAGCAAAUUGCUCAGUAACACGUCAAUAAUCUGCCCUUAGGACUGGAAUAACCUCGGGAAACUGAGGCUAAAACCGGAUAGGAGGUUAGCACUGGAAUGUUUUUCCUUUUAAAUGCAAAGCCUAAGGAUGAGUUGGCGGCCGAUUAGGUUGUUGGUGGUGUAAAGGACCACCAAGCCAAAGAUCGGUAGGGGUCCUGAGAGGGAUAGCCCCGAGAAGGGCACUGAGACACAGGCCCUAGCCCCACGGGGUGCAGCAGGCGCGAAACCUUUACAAUGCACGCAAGUGCGAUAAGGGAAUCCUAAGUGCCUUGCUUUCGCAAGGCUUUUGCCAAGCUUAAAUUCCUUGGCGAAUAAGUGGUGGGCAAGACUGGUGCCAGCCGCCGCGGUAACACCAGCGCCACAAGUGGGAACCGUUUUUAUUGGGUCUAAAGCGUCCGUAGCCGGUUAAGUAAAUCUCUUGUGAAAUCAUUGGGCUAAACCUAAUGGCGCGCUUGAGAGACUGCAUAACUAGGAACUGGGAGGAGUCAGAAGUAUUUCAGGGGGAGCGGUAAAAUGUUAUAAUCCCUGAAGGACUACCUGUGGCGAAAGCGUCUGACUAGAACAGAUUCGACGGUGAGGGACGAAAGCUAGGGGAGCAAUCCGGAUUAGAUACCCGAGUAGUCCUAGCCAUAAACGUUGCGAGCUAGGUGUUGCACAUUCUUCGUGGAUGUGCAGUGUCGUAAUGAAGAUGUUAAGCUCGCCACCUGGAAGUAUGGUCGCAAGACUGAAACUUAAAGGAAUUGGCGGGGGAGCACCACAAGGGGUGCGGCGUGCGGUUUAAUCUAACUCAACACAGAGAAUCUCACCAGAGGCGACGGCAGAAUGAAGGUCAGUCUAAAGGGCUUACCCAACGAGCCGAGAGGUAGUGCAUGGCCGCCGUCAGCUCGUGCCGUAAGGUGUCCUGUUAAGUCAGGCAACGAGCGAGACCUAUACCUACAAUUGCUAACGAGCAUUUAUGUGAUCGAGCACAUUGUAGGAACUGCUCUCGAAAGGGAGAGGAAGGUGUAGGCUACGGUAGGUCUGUAUGCUCCGAAUCCUCUGGGCUACACGCGCGCAACAAUGGUAGUGACAAUGGGCUGCUACUCCGAAAGGAGGAGCUAAUCCUCGAAACACUAUCUUAGUUCAGAUUGUGGACUGUAAUUCGUCCACAUGACGCUGGAAUCCCUAGUAAUCGGAAUUCAACAUAUUCCGGUGAAUAUGUCCCUGCUCCUUGCACACACCGCCCGUCAAACCACCCGAGUAGGGUUUAGAUGAGGCCUUAUUUUUAAUAAGUUCGAAUCUGAGCUUUGCGAGGAGGGUUAAGUCGUCACAAGGUA
rnacentral:rRNA from 1 species